rnacentral:rRNA from 12 species
GAAGGGUUUGAUCCUGGCUCAGAACGAACGGUGGCGACGUGCUUAUUCCAUGCAAGUCGAGCGAGAAGUUCCUUCGGGAAUGGAGAGCGGCGAAAGGGUGAGUAACGUAUGAAUGACCUACCUUCAAGAGGGGGAUAACAGUUCGAAAGGGCUGCUAAUACCGCAUAAGGUUACAUUGGUGCAUGCUGGUGUAAUUAAAGUGGGGGAUCUUCGGACCUCACGCUUGGAGAGGGGUUUGUAUUCUAUUAGCUAGUUGGUGGGGUAAUGGCCUACCAAGGC